rnacentral:rRNA from 1 species
GACGAACGCUGGCGGCGUGCCUAAUACAUGCCAGUUGAGCGCUGAAGGUUGGUACUUGUACCAACUGGAUGAGCAGCGAACGGGUGAGUAACGCGUGGGGAAUCUGCCUUUGAGCGGGGGACAACAUUUGGAAACGAAUGCUAAUACCGCAUAAAAACUUUAAACACAAGUUUUAAGUUUGAAAGAUGCAAUUGCAUCACUCAAAGAUGAUCCCGCGUUGUAUUAGCUAGUUGGUGAGGUAAAGGCUCACCAAGGCGAUGAUACAUAGCCGACCUGAGAGGGUGAUCGGCCACAUUGGGACUGAGACACGGCCCAAACUCCUACGGGAGGCAGCAGUAGGGAACCUUCGGCAAUGGACGAAAGUCUGACCGAGCAACGCCGCGUGAGUGAAGAAGGUUUUCGGAUCGUAAAACUCUGUUGGUAGAGAAGAACGUUGGUGAGAGUGGAAAGCUCAUCAAGUGACGGUAACUACCCAGAAAGGGACGGCUAACUACGUG